rnacentral:rRNA from 1 species
GAUGAACGCUGGCGGCGUGCCUAAUACAUGCCAGUCGAGCGAACGGACGAGAAGCUUGCUUCUCUGAUGUUAGCGGCGGACGGGUGAGUAACACGUGGAUAACCUACCUAUAAGACUGGGAUAACUUCGGGAAACCGGAGCUAAUACCGGGUAAUAUUUUGAACCGCAUGGUUCAAAAGUGAAAGACGGUCUUGCUGUCACUUAUAGAUGGAUCCGCGCUGCAUUAGCUAGUUGGUAAGGUAACGGCUUACCAAGGCAACGAUGCAUAGCCGACCUGAGAGGGUGAUCGGCCACACUGGAACUGAGACACGGUCCAGACUCCUACGGGAGGCAGCAGUAGGGAAUCUUCCGCAAUGGGCGAAAGCCUGACGGAGCAACGCCGCGUGAGUGAUGAAGGUCUUCGGAUCGUAAAACUCUGUUAUUAGGGAAGAACAUAUGUGUAAGUAACUGUGCACAUCUUGACGGUACCUAAUCAGAAAGCCACGGCUAACUACGUG